rnacentral:rRNA from 1 species
AUGGCACAGUGCAAUGCUAAGCUGAUUGCCAUUGUCUUCUCGUCAAGCACAGGGCAAUGGCGAGCCAUUUCGUCCCUGAGCUGGAGUGAUUUAUUACCUGGCUUGCUAUCGUCCACAGGGUUGGCUCUGUUCUCCUUGCGGCAAUACGCCUAUGGGCUCUUCUAUUGGGUGACAGAUUGGAGGGAAAAGUUUCUGGUGCUUGACUCCCGGAGGAUGAAGUUCUCCAUUGCUGAACCCCCACCUGAGAUGAGAUAUUUACACGGUGUGGAUAUAGCCAUUUUGGAGGCAGGGGAAGGCAGGUCCAGGAUGUUUGUGCGUACCGAAGGCACAAAAUACCUCAACUAUACCACCGGGCGAAACAAUUGUGGGAGUUCCAUCCAGUGGCAGUUGGAGAGGACAAUCUCACUGGAUUCUGGGUAUGUGUUGAUCAGUUCAACAGGGAGGCACUUAUUCCUAUAUCAGCGCCAAAGCUCAUCGCUUGAUCGAGCCUUUUUCUCGCUGGAUGCCAGGACAUUCCAGCUUGAGAGGGUGUUUGCCUCAAAUUCAUGCAUCCCCAAUGCGCGCGCAUAUAGCAGCUUUCCACCAUCAUUGUUGUUGACACCAACAAUAUCAAGUGGCAUUGGAAACAGCGGGGCUGAGAAGGAGACACCGGAACAAGGCUGUGCUGCAAGCUCAAGCACAGAGUCACCAAAGUCAGAGUAG